rnacentral:rRNA from 1 species
GUAGGAGGCGAGCGUUAUCCGGAUUCACUGGGCGUAAAGCGCGUGCAGGCGGUUCGGUAAGUUGGGCGUGAAAUCUCUUGGCUUAACUAGGAGAGGUCGUUCAAUACUACCGGACUUGAGAGUGGUAGAGGAAGAUGGAAUUCCCGGUGUAGUGGUGAAAUGCGUAGAUAUCGGGAGGAACACCAGUGGCGAAAGCGAUCUUCUGGACCAUUUCUGACGCUCAGACGCGAAAGCUAGGGUAGUAAACGGGAUUAGAGACCCCGGUAAUCCUAGCCGUAAACGAUGUUAACUUGGCGUCGGUGGCUUAAACUCCAUCGGUGCCGCAGCAAACGCGAUAAGUUAACCGCCUGGGGACUACGAUCGCAAGAUUAAA